rnacentral:rRNA from 1 species
AUUGAACGCUGGCGGCAGGCCUAACACAUGCAAGUCGAACGAGUGGCGGACGGGUGCGUAAUGCUUGGGAAUCUGCCUGAUGGAGGGGGAUAACUACGGGAAACUGUAGCUAAUACCGCAUACCAUAAGAUGAGCCCACAUGGGAUUAGCUAGUUGUUGAGGUAACGGCUCACCAAGGCGACGAUCGCUAGCUGGUCUGAGAGGAUGACCAGCCACAUGGGAACUGAGACACGGCCCAGACUCCUACGGGAGGCAGCAUUGGGGAAUAUUGCACAAUGGGGGCAAGCCUGAUGAAGCCAUGCCGCGUGUAUGAAGAAGGCCUUAGGGUUGUAAAGUACUUUCAGCGGGGAGGCGUUACCCGCAGAAGAAGCACCGGCUAACUCCGUGCCAGCAGCCGCGGUAAUUC